AACGAACGCUGGCGGCGUGCUUAACACAUGCAAGUCGAACGGUACGGCCGUGCUUUUGUGCGGUGCUCGGGUGGCGACCGGGUGAUUAACACGUGAGUAACCUACACUUGACUUUGGGAUAACUUCAUAAAGCUGGGCCUCAUACCGGAUAGGAUCUACUGCUGCAUGAUGGGCGUGGGUAAGUUUCGGCGGUUGGGGAUGUAAUGGCGCCUUAUCGGCUUAGUGGUUGGGUGGUGGAAUACCAUGGUCUGGCGGGGUUGCUGGGCUGAGAGGCGGACCGGCCACAUCGGAAUGGAGCUACGGCCCAGACUCGUAUGGGAGGCAGCAGAGGGGAAUGUUGCACAAUGGGCGGAAGGCAGAUGUAGCAACGCCGCGUGCGGGAAGACGGCCAUGGGGUUGUAAACCGAUUCCGCCUGAGACGAAGCGUGAGUGACGGUAACGGGUAAAGAAGCACCGGCUAACUACGUG
rnacentral:rRNA from 1 species